rfam:Nasonia vitripennis chromosome 3, whole genome shotgun sequence.
GCAGCGUCAAUCUUGCAGUAGGGGUGCACAUACAAGGUACUUGUUACCAUUGUUCACAUCACCUCGGGAAGGUCUGAGAUAAGGUCAUUGAACGCUCCAGCCGGGCGAUGCCGUGAUGGCAUGCGCGAGAACCAGAAACAGCCCGAGCGCGUCCUAAAGCCGGGGAUGCUCAGAUGCCUUUUUUUAUAAAGAGGCGAGCGGAGGCGGCGCUUGGCUUGGGAUGGAAACUCGCGUGACCCGCUGUUUUAGUACAAUCUGCGAGCCGCAUCAAUUCCUUUGAUCGGAACUCAAUUCAGACUAAUCUGAUGCUGC